rnacentral:rRNA from 1 species
GACGAACGCUGGCGGCGUGUCUAAUACAUGCAAGUCGAACGCAGUGGGGACGGGUGAGUAACACGUGGGUAACCUCCCAUCAGAGGGGAUAACACUUGGAAACAGGUGCUAAACCGAUAUUCAUUGAUGGCCCCUCGGUGCAUUAGCUAGUUGGUGAGGUAACGGCUCACAAAGGCCACGAUGCAUAGACGACCUGAGAGGGUGAUAGGCCACACUGGGACUGAGACACGGCCAAGACUCCUACGGGAGGCAGCAGGAGGGAAUCUUCGGCAAUGGACGAAAGUCUGACCGAGCAACGCCGCGUGAGUGAAGAAGGUUUUCGGAUCGUAAAACUCUGUUGUUAGAGAAGCGGUAGGUAAAGAGAAAGCCACGGCUAACUACGUGCCAGCAGCCGCGGUAAUUG